UCAGGUGGGACUACCUGCUGAACUUAAGCAUAUCAAUAAGCAGAGGAAAAGAAACUAACAAGGAUUCCCCUAGUAAUGGCGAAUGAAGAGGGAAAAGCCCAAAUUUGUAAUCUGGCUCUUUCAGAGUCCGAGUUGUAAUUUUAAGAACUGUUUUCAGUGCUGGACCAUGUAUAAGUCUGUUGAAAGGCAGCAUCAUAGAAGGUGAUAAUCCUGUUCAUGAUGUGGACUACCAGUGCAAUAUGAUACAGUCUCUAAGAGUC
rnacentral:rRNA from 1 species